GGACUACCGGGGUAUCUAAUCCUGUUUGCUCCCCACGCUUUCGCACCUCAGUGUCAGUCUGGUCCCAGGUAGCCGCCUUCGCCACUGGUGUUCUUUCCGAUCUCUACGCAUUUCACCGCUACACCGGAAAUUCCACUACCCUCUGUCCGACUCUAGUCUCAUAGUAUUCAACGCCAUUCCCAGGUUAAGCCCGGGGAUUUCACAUCAAACUUUUAAAACCACCUACAUGCCCUUUACGCCCAAUAAUUCCGAUUAACGCUCGCACCCUCUGUAUUACCGCGGCGGCUGGCAC
rnacentral:rRNA from 1 species